AAUUUAAUAAUAUUUUAUUUCUAUUUGCAGGUACUGGAUCAUCAUCGUCGUCUGGAGCAGUGAGUUUGGCACGGCAUAAAGCGCUGGAUGAGCGCGUGUGCAUGGUGCGGCAGGAGACGUGGACAUUGCACAGCGCCGUGCAGAGUGGAUGGAGCGAUCGCCGUGGUCCUCCAGGUGACCCGGGAUUCGGCCAAAUUUGUGUGGCGAUGGUUGCCAGCAGCCAUGAAGUGCAGGAAAACCACCCCUGCGUGGAUUCGGAUGCGCCAUGUGAGGCCUGCCAGCAGCCGUGGUGACGCUCGUCGAUUGCACCCCUCCGGAGGCCGGACGCCCAUGGUGAAGCAUCGGGGGAACGACUGGAGGCAUCGCCCGGUGUCGCAAGCGUGUUUUCACGCGCUUCAGGAAUACCGACAAAGACCAACACAGGAGUAUUGGACUAGCUGCGGCCGGAUUGCGGCAUCGCAGUGAGCGGCGCCUUGCUGCAACAGAGUGCAGAGUGACUGCGGCGUUGUGUGCAAUGAGCCGGCCGGCAUCAUCGUCGUUGUUGUAGACGUCGUCGUCUGAGAUGGAUUGGACAUCGUCGUCGUCGCCAUCUGUGAUGAUUUGGACGUCGUCGUGGUCGGCAUCUGUGAUGAUUUGGACGUCGUCGUCGUCGGCGACCACCCGUUCAAGGCGCUGUCGGACUUGCUCCAGUCCGUGGUCCAGAAGUGCCUCUUGCGGAUUGCGUUGAUGGCUGUCGUCCAGGGUGCGUGAGCUGCUGCUUGCAGCCCGUGUCUGGCAACGAUGAUGUGACGUCUGCAGGUUGCUGCUCGCCAGAAUUUGCUGCGUCUGUUGCUGAGUCUGCUGCUGGGUAUGCUGCUGGGUGAUCGGGAUCCCCCUCGUAAUCUGGCAAGAUUAUUCUUUGGACAGAAACUGGCUGGCCAAAGAUAAGAGCCACUAUUCUUUCUCGGGAGUUUGGCCGCUGAGCUCCUCCUCUUCGAGACGGACCAGCGUUGGAAGCGAUUCCUCGGGGAUGGCCGGAUCUGGAUGUUGUUGUUGAUGGCUGCUCCGAUCCUGAUUUUGAGGCUGCAGCGGGCGGAAGUGUUGUAGCAGCUGUUGCAGAUAUCGUGGCCUCUGCAAUCGCUGUGGCUCAUACGGCUGCAGUAAUAGUUUCCGAGCCUCCGGAUUGACAUGGCAGGCCAAGGAGUUGGCGAAGCGCCCACUUGACGUAUGGAACACUUCGUCAAUUGUGACUAGAUUGCUUUGCACCCGUCGCAGCUGGCAACCGGAUGUAAGUGCGCCCCAAACCGGAAGACCAUAUUGCCAAAUGGGCAUGAUGAGCUGCUUGAUGACGAUAGCCUUGAUUUCGUUAGGCAGCCGGCUUCUGGGUCCAGCAAGCCACUCCAGUUUUUUCGCUCUUGCUCUCAGUUUGUUGCAUAGUCCAGUUAUGUGAGAGUUAAAGCCGGCGGUUGCCUUAUGUCCAUAGCUCGCAAUGUCCUUAGUGUACACAUGACGUGUCCGGUUUUUUUUGCGUUGACACUGAUGCACCACUUCUUGGUGAAGUGUUGCAGGUAUGGCUGGUUAUUUUUGACUGCCACAUUUGGGAUUGCAGAUGCGCUCAUUAUCACCGUGUCGUCGGCAUACGUGGACAGCAACAUUGAUUCCCGUUCUGGAUGGAAGCCAGUGCUGUCCGGGAUGAUGUGAGGCAUGGGCAUGUCCGAAGCAUAGAUUGUGUACAGUAUUGGCCCAAGUACACUACCCUGCGGGACUCCAGCAGCAAUUUUUCCCGUUCUGGACACAUCGCCAUCGACGCAGCUCACACAAAACGUACGGUCGGAUAGGUAGCUUUCCAAGAUUCUGUACAAAUUGACAGGCAGCAGCUUUAUCAACUUGUACAGCAGCCCCUCAUGCCAAACUCGAUCGAAUGCCUCGGAUAUGUCCAGGAAGAUUGCAGAACAGUACUGCUUCUUUUCAUACGCCUUUAGUAUGAAUUGUGUGACGCGAGCCAGCUGCUGCUCGGUACCAUGCUCACGCCUGAAUCCAAACUGGUAAUUGGGUACGGCCUUGGCAAAAUCUUCUACAUUAAACAGCCUCGCCAUCAGCAGCUUCUCAAGUAUUUUUGAUAGGCCCGACAACAGACUGAUGGGCCGGUAAGAGCUCAUAUCAGCUGUGUUCUUGCCCGGGUAAAGGUCAUUUUUAUGUGGGCAUGUUUCCAUUGACUUGGGAAUUGCCCCAGCCUGAAAAUUAAAUUGUAAAUUAGGAUCAAAUAAAGCAACGCUUUUUUUGGCAGUUUUUUAAUCAAUGUAUUUUCAAUGCCGUCUCCUCCAGGUGACUUGGCCAGCUCCAGUACGUUGAUGAUGUCAAUCAGUUCUGGAAGAGUGACUGGCCUAAAUGGGAUCCCGCCUGCCUGGUCCAGAUGUUGAUGCUGCUGCCGCUUUGUGUUCUCCAGUUCUCUGCUGAUUGCCGCCCGCUCAUCAUCUGAAUUGGAGAGGAUUGGGCUGAAUCGCUCCUUCAGCUGCCUCGCCACCAACAUUGACAAUUUCCUGCCAAAUGGGAGGAAUAUGAGGCCCCUUUUGAUGACGCUGCC